AUUUAGAUAAGAGGAAAGGCAUUUAGGUCAUUUAUGAAUGACUGAUGUUUAAUAGAUAUGGAGAUGUUAAGUCUACUUGAGGACAAGGGUGAUGGUUUUUAUAUUGCUAUUCUUGGUUAUUUAGGCACAUACAAGAUGCUCAGUAAAACUUCGUUGAAGUUAAUAAUGUUCAUUGUUUUAAAUUAUUCUUCUCCAUUUGGUUGACUGUCUUAAAACAUAGUCCAUUAUAAUUUUGCUCAGAAGCAAGGCCAAUUUUCAUUGUUUUUAUCUACAUUAAAAUUUUACAUUUAAUUAUAGUUUAAAUUUGGACCACAAAUGCUUGAAUCACUAGUGGUCUCUUUCUCCUAGUUUGUCUCGGGUAUGUUCCUAAACCAUGGGUAUGUCCAGUAGGACAAAAGACUACUACUUUACUGUUGGAGUUUGUGAUCUACCAUCUUGUCUUCUAAAAACAACAACAACAACAACAACAACAACAACAACAACAUUUACCUUUAAUAUCUGUUUGGCAACUGCUGUGUUGAAGAGAUUUCACAAAUUUGAAUAAAGAGGGCAACAAAUACCGAGUGGCAGUUUUGUUUGUUUUAAUUUAUUCAUGAUCAUGAAUGUAAGAAUAGUAUACUUGCUUUCAAAGAUAGCAUAUGAUGAUGAUGGUGAUGAUGAUGGUGAUGAUGAUGAUGAUGAUGAUGCCUCUCUCUCUAUUGUUCUUUCCUUUUGCUUUUGACUAAGUCUUUGUCAUUUAAAAAAUAAAUCAGCCAAAGAGAGGACCCAGUUAUUCUUUGACUGGAUAGAUCAAGAGCAAACCAGAAGAGAAUCUCUGUCUCUACCCAACUGAACCUCGUUUCGGUACCAUCACUUCUCUAUUUAUGGAUGGAAAUACUGCAGCUUUCUGGACUGCAUACCCUGCUCCCUGGAGAGGUUCCACCCACCGGCUGGAAGGAGAGGAAGUGAAUGAAAGGACAGGAGGAGCCCGAACACCAUGUCACUCUGGAAGGGAGACAGCAGCAACCAGGCUGUGCAAGGUUGUUUUGUUUUGUUUUCUUUUCCCCUUUCUCUUUCUUUUUUUUUUUUCUUUUUCAUUUUUUUGUUUUCUUUCUUUCUUUCUUCUUUCUUUUUUUCCCUUUUUCUUUAAGGUGGGGAAAGAGACAAACAGGAGACAGGAAGCUGAUCUGCAAGGAUUCGGAGUUGUGCUAAAAAGACUUUGAUUUUUUUCUUCUCUCCCUCUUUACAAACGCUGGCAAUUGACAUCACUACAGACAGCCUGGGUAGAGAACAAAGUGCCUCAUCCCAAGUGGACCCUGGCAGCUGGGGGAAGGAAGGCAGGAUCUGGGAAGGCUGUGUGUGUGUGUGUGUGUGUGUGUGUGUGCGCGCGUGUGUGUGUGCGUGUGUUGUUCUACCAAUACCUUUCCUUUUUUCUUUCUUUCUUUCUUUCUUUCUUUCUUUCUUUCUUUCUUUCUUUCUUUCUAUUUUUUUGGUGUGUUUCUUUUUUAAAUUCCUGCCGUGUUGGAACUAGUGAGUGGUGGAAGACGAAGGAUCUCUGAAGCCUCAUCAGUCAUCGGGACCAUCAGGAAUAGUGGUUUAAGAGGACGCUCGGCCUGGGGCACCAUACCGUGUCAUCGAGUUCCCUGCCUCGGAGAUAAAGAUUCCAGCUACAUGGGUAAACGCCUGGAUCAGCCACAAAUGUACCCCCAGUACACUUACUACUAUCCUCACUGUCUCUAAACCAAGGUAUGGCUCGACCCACAGUCUGGCAAGCAGUGUGUAUCCUGCACUUGGGAUGGGAAACAGGCAUGUGGAUUAUUAUUUACCUCCCCUUUCCCAUCACCUCUUCCUGCUUCUUUGAAAUUAGUAACAUAGCAAUGGAGUUAAUGAGGCAGAGGAGAAUAUGAGAAGAAAGCAAGCCCUGGGACUGUGGUUUUUCUCUUCUAGCAGAGAUAAUAGUUUCGCUCGUGUUCCUUUGUUGUUAUUUGGCAACAUAAAGAUGUUCCUGAUAUCCGUAGUAAAGUGCUUUGCAGAUGGACAGGGUUGUUAGAAAGGAGAUUGUGACAGUGAUUAUCAGGAACAACAACGAUUUCAGAGGCUUUUCUGGUGAGCUGUUCUUUGUGGCUCUGAAAGGGUUUUUCUCACUGGAUAGGAUGCACCAGGGUGGGGGCAACUCAGACUUUCAAUCACAGAGUAUAGAAUGAAAGAAGGGUGUGGGAAGGU
rnacentral:lncRNA from 12 species